rnacentral:rRNA from 1 species
UGGGGAAUAUUGGACAAUGGGCGAAGGCCUGAUCCAGCGACGCCGCGUGGGUGAAGAAGGCCUGCGGGUUGUAAAGCCCUUUCGGUGGGGAAGAAAAGCCUCGACCUAACACGUCGGGGUCUUGACGUAACCCAUAGAAGAAGCACCGGCGAACUCUGUGCAAGCAGCCGCGGUAAUACAGAGGGUGCGAGCGUUAAUCGGAAUUACUGGGCGUAAAGCGCGCGUAGGCGGCUUUGCAAGUCGGGUGUGAAAUCCCCAGGCUUAACCUGGGAACUGCAUUCGAGACUGCAUUGCUAGAGUAUGGGAGAGGGAAGUGGAAUUUCAGGUGUAGCGGUGAAAUGCGUAGAUAUCUGAGGGAACAUCAGUGGCGAAAGCGACUUCCUGGACCAAUACUGACGCUCAUGUGCGAAAGCGUGGGGAGCAAA